rnacentral:rRNA from 1 species
UACAGAGGGUGCGAGCGUUAAUCGGAAUUACUGGGCGUAAAGCGUGCGUAGACGGUUUUGUAAGUCGGAUGUGAAAUCCCCGGGCUCAACCUGGGAAUUGCAUUCGAGACUGCAAGGCUUGGGUGCGGAAGAGGGAAGCGGAAUUUCCGGUGUAGCGGUGAAAUGCGUAGAUAUCGGAAGGAACAUCAGUGGCGAAAGCGGCUUCCUGGUCCCAGCACCGA